rnacentral:miRNA from 14 species
GGACUAGAGGGAAAGUUGGAGAUGGGGGGAGGGGGAGAGUCUUCCGUUUCUAUAACGACACUAAUCCUAUAAAAUCAAAAUCCCAGUCAUAUUCCCUCAUCUCU